rnacentral:misc_RNA from 1 species
GCAAACUUGGUCAUUUAGAGGAAGUAAAAGUCGUAACAAGGUCUCCGUUGGUGAACCAGCGGAGGGAUCAUUACCGAGUUUCUAACUCCAUACCUUUGUGAACAUACCUAUCGUUGCUUCGGCGGGUCCGUCCCGGGGAACGCAGUCCGCUGCGCGCCCCGGAGCCAGACGCCCGCCGAGGACCCCAAACCCUGUUUUUUAUAGAGGAUCUUCUGAGUCUCAUACAAAAUAAAUUAAAACUUUCAGCAACGGAUCUCUUGGUUCUGGCAUCGAUGAAGAACGCAGC